AACGAACGCUGGCGGCAUGCCUAACACAUGCAAGUCGAACGAGACCUUCGGGUCUAGUGGCGCACGGGUGCGUAACGCGUGGGAACCUGCCCUUAGGUUCGGAAUAACUCCCCGACAGGGGUGCUAAUACCGGAUAAUGUCUUCGGACCAAAGAUUUAUCGCCUUUGGAUGGGCCCGCGUUGGAUUAGCUAGUUGGUAGGGUAAAAGCCUACCAAGGCGACGAUCCAUAGCUGGUCUGAGAGGAUGAUCAGCCACACUGGGACUGAGACACGGCCCAGACUCCUACGGGAAGCAGCAGUGGGGAAUAUUGGACAAUGGGCGAAAGCCUGAUCCAGCAAUGCCGCGUGAGUGAUGGAGGCCUUAGGGUUGUAAAGCUCUUUUAACCGGGAUGAUAAUGACAGUACCGGGAGAAUAAGCUCCGGCUAACUCCGUG
rnacentral:rRNA from 1 species